rnacentral:lncRNA from 1 species
UCCAAAAUUGAGUUGUUGGGUUUCUUAAAUAUUCUUCUGUUAGUUUAAGUCGAAAUAAUUGUUAGCAAGCUCUUUUUUCAAGGCCCAAUUUUUCCUCUUAGUUUGUGAACUUAUAUCGUCUUUAUUAUCAAAAUUUCGCAUCAAGAAAUCAUGUUGUCAAAUUCCUCUGGAACCCAAAUCUGAUUCAGCAGCUCAGAAAUUUGACAAUUUAUCUGGGAAUGGCCAGAUUGAGGAAGUAGUAGUAGGGAACUCAAAAGGGUUCAUUGGGGUUUUGGAGGUUUACAUAAACCAAGCAAGAGGCCGUUUCUAUUUUUUUCAAUCUGGGUCAAAAUCAAACCCAAGGACCUUAACUCCGCUCCCUCGCCGUUGUAACUUACACGUUGCUGCUCCAGACCUCCGAUAACCGCCCUCAAAUUUUGUUCUGUUUCCGUCACUGAUUACAAGUAUGAUCUUCAUCAAUCCUUCCAAUACCAACGCUCUGACUACGUGGCACAACUUUCAACGCUCCUCCUCGGAUAGACUGUUGUCGCCGGAGAAACUCCGUCUCAAUCUUAUUACUCAGACGACUUCUAGUAGAAGCAACCCUUAAAAGGUCUCUAAAAUCCUCGUCGCAUUAAUGCUGAAGCUCUUGGGCAAAGUGGUAGCUUGUGUCGACGGGCAGCCACCGCUCGGGGUGCUCAAAAAAUUCGGUUUUUCGGUUUUUUUACCGAACCGGUUGAAAUCGAUACCGGUUUUUUUCGAUUUCGAUUUUUUCGGUUUUGGUUUUUUAAUUUUUUUAUAUUUUUCGGUACCGGUAGCGGUAAUAAGAAUUUGGAAUUCGGUAAAACCGAAAAAUCCAAAAAAAACCGAAAUUUUUUUCACCAACUUUUAAG